AACGAGGCCACUCCCGCUCGGCACCCUCGGUCCUUUAUUGUUGACUCGAAGCUCCCAAAAUGGCGGACGCUCCUUCCUCCUCGGAAACCUCCGCCCGCCCCCACCCAGCCCUCUCGCUACGGCCUCCUCUCGCCCCCGCCCCCGCCCCGCUCCGAGGGGCGCGCAGGCCAGCCGCCCGAGCCGCCGGCUCCCCCGGCUGUCCAGCCCUACCUCCUCCGCUGCCCGCUCUCGUGGCGCCGCCGAAGUCGCCGCCUGGCUGAGCUAACUCGGCUCCUCUGCCCCCUCCCUCGCUCGCCCGUUCGCCCGCCCGCCGCCUCCUCCCUCUUUCCCUGCCUCUCCGCAUGGCGGCGACCGCGGCUCCUCCUCCACUCAAGAUGGCGAAACCUCGGCCGCCGCGGCUAUAUUCGCCGCGGCGUCACUGCCUUCCUGGCCUGGUGGUGAGAGGAAGUCGGGCCGCGAAAGCUUCCUGAGGAGAAAAUGGAGGGCCCUUCUCUCACACCGACGAGAAAAGUUCGAGGGGGAAAUACGAGUUCCUUUCUGAAGGGACAGGACGGCUGCUUUUCCACAGCCGCGACGUGAUUGAGAAAUGGUGGCUGGCAAGGGUAGGCCUGCCUUCGCCCCUCCAAAGUAAAAAUCGGGAGUUGAGACCAGAGGAACAUCUCUUUAUUACAUGACUAAGGAUAUGUUUUGAAAACUGGCCCCCGGGCAGCUGCUCGGGGACAGGAAGCUGACCUGACUUCUCCAGCUGGCCGGGGAGGCUGAUGCCGGGCCUAAGGGGCCGCGUCCGAGCCUCUCGGGGCGCGCCUCCAUGCAGGAAGGCGCGGAACUAGCGACCCGGAGACGCCGGGCGCGCGUCUGAGUGUGGGGGCAGGAAGGGGGGCCGACCGGGCCCGGAGGCCGCACCAGGCAGGAGGGAGGACUCCAGAGAGUGCGCGGGGGGCGCUGCGCGGUGGGACGGGGCGAGCCUGUAGGGCGCGCCUGGCGGCGGAAAUAAUAGAACUGCUGUCUUCUUCCAAGUUAAACAAAACUUUGGAGCUAAAAGCUAGCUAGGUCAAGAGAAACAAAAUCUAAUCCUCACCCAAUUGAGAGACUGAAUAUACAAAGAAUGGCCAAACCUAACCAUGACCUCCUACCCAUAACCUCUUCAGUAAUCGGCCAGAAGGGUCAGGACUUAAUCUUUAACCGGCAGCUUCCCUAUUUCUUGCCCCUGCUUCCAGCUCUGGGCCAAUCAGAGAAAGCCAAAUGUGCUCCUCACACCAAUCGCGUAAGAAGCCCUGCUUCUAGUAUAGCCCUCCUCCAACUUCCCGAUGCCAACAUCCUCCAAUCAGAGCCAACCUGAAGUUUCUCCCUUUUUUCAGUAUAUGUAAAGCUUUUCCACUCCCCUGCCUGCCUAUGAGUCUGUUAAAUCAAGUGAUGGGUCGCGGCUGACUCUUGCCAGCUCUGAGUAAAUAGCCUAUUCUCAUUUGGUGGUCGUUAUUUCUACACAGCCGGUGGGAAGGUGGUGGAGAAUAGUGAAGACUAUUCUUAAGGUUAAAAAGAAGGUUCGGCUUACAUUUUUUUUUUAUUUUAAAUUUACAGCAUGGCGUCUCCAGCCCAGGUUUUAAAAUACCUUCUAAUGUAAGGAAAUAGCCCUGCACCUUGUGCCCAUCCUAGAGAGAAAAUGGUUUCUUAAUAAAAAAUGUAUGAGGCCUUUUUUGCCCCAAUAUCUUCCCAAGCAGAGGAAUGUGAAGGGGGGUUGGGCCAAGAAGUGAGUGGUAGGAAGAGAGGCCUACGGAUUUAAAACAGGCCACUGCUUGGAGGGGUGUCUUUCCUAAACCACUGAAGAAAUUGAACCAGGCAAAGGAAGGGGGUUCACACCCACAAAUAAACUAUAACCUACAAAAGGAGCCCGGGUUCACAUCCACAAAUAAAUUGUAACCUACACAAGGAGUCUGGUUGAGGUCACAAAACAAAAGCCAGGAGGCAACCAAAAGUAGAAUAUGAAAUAGGUGCUGCCUUCUCACCUAGGAAUCCUUCCAGGGCUAAAACCUUCAAAUAUUCUGCUUUUAAGGUAGUCAGAUACCCUCACAACUCAUUUACAUCAGCCCUUCUCUGUUUUCAAGUGAGAAGCAUAGAUGGUUUAGAAUUAAGCUAUGAACUCUUGGAUCUUUUCUUCCAAGUUUAGUGUUAGUGGUAGAUAGGUCUAGUCCAACUAUCUCAAUACAUUGUUUUCUCCCUAGUUAAAACAGAUUUGCAAGAAUCAUUUGUAUGACACUUUAGGAAUACAGAUAAAUUGCUAGUGCAAAUAAUAUCCUUAUAUUUAUAAAAUAUAUGUGUACUUUUAAAAAAGUUAUAUGAAUCCAAUCCUCUGGCCUUUUAGUUAGUAUUGAGUGUGAUAGUUGUGGGAGAUCUGUAGUAAAUACGGUUUCUGAAGGGUGUGCUAUCAUCCCUAAUGAACUCACCUAUUAAUUGUGGUAAAGAGUUUUUCACUUGGGCUGGGCACGGUGGCUCACGCCUGUAAUCCCAGCACUUUGGGAGGCCGAGGCAGGUGGGUCGACUGAGGUCAGGAGUUCCAGACCAGCCUAGCCAACAUGGUGAAACCCCGUCUGUACUAAAAAAAAAAAAAAGAAAAAAAAUAGCUGGGCAUGGUGGCAGGUGCCUGUAAUCCCAGCUACUUGGGAGGCUGAGGCAGGAGAAUCCCUUGAACCUGGGGAGGCGGAGGUUGCAGUGAGCCAAGAUCGUGCCAUUGCACUCCAGCCUGGGCAACAAGAGCAAAACUCCGUCUCAAAAAAAAAAAAAAAAAGAAAAAGAAAAAGAAAUGAAAAAAAAAGUUUCCCAACAUGUAUUAGCCGUUUUCAUGUUGUCUGUAUUCACCUUUGCGUCAUCACCCCUCUUCAAUUUCCUCCUGGAAUUCAAUCACAGUAAUGGGUUAUCUCAGCAUAUAUUAUUCGCCAGUCUCACAUCCUGACCUCAUUUAUUUACCUAAAAAUAACCAGAACGAAAAAAAAAUCACAGAUUAAUUUACACUUGAUUUCACUUUAACUUCAAUUUAAAAUACUUAGAAUCCAGAAUUCCUAGUAAGUUGAACCUGGAAUACGCAGACCUGUGAUAAUAUCUUAAACACUCAAAUGUUUUCAACUUGCUGAAAUGGAGUUCACACUUUUAACAUUCUGGGCUUUUUUUUUAAAAGGGACUAUAAUACUUUAAC
rnacentral:lncRNA from 1 species